UCAGCACUCCUUUCGAAUUCCUCCCACAUCUGAAAAACCUUGACCACCUCUCAUCGCCACUGCCGCCUUCGCCGCGCCGGCCACCGCUUUCACCGCACCGCCAUUUGCCAACCUCCAUUUCCCUCUUCCCCGCGAUUCUGCGAUCUGCCACCUCCUUUCGAAUCGACUCGCCAAGAAUCUAAAAAUCAUCAAAACCCGUCGCCCCCAUCGCAAUUCGCCACAACUCCCAUUGCCGCCUUCGACUGUCACAGUCGCGAUUCGAUCUGCCCCUUCCACCUUCUCCGAUGCCAUCGAUCUUCUCCGAUGCCAGCGAUAUUUCCAUCCCCCGGCGAUCUGCCCUCCCGGUGAUUCCACCCACCGGCCGCAGCCUCGAUGAGAUCUGCCCCUUCCACCUUUUUCGAUGCCACCUCCAUUUCCAUCCCCCCGAUGAUCUGCUCUCCCGGCUUCCCCCCUAUCUACAGAAUCCGGCGGUCGCCAAUGCCUCAAGACCACGGCCGGCUAUGGUAAGUUUUUUAUUUAUUUUUUUAUUUUUUUAUAUUUGCUGGUUUAUUUGCUUAUUUAACAAAAAAUAAGCAAAUCAUAUCAUGCUAAUUAAUUUUCGAUUGGUGCAAACUAUGUAAAUAUAUCAACGGAAACUUAAACCCUAGAUUAAUUUUCGAUUUUAUCAAAGGAAACUUAAACCCUAGAUUUUUAUCUAUAAAUUCAUUAGCUUGAAUUAUUAACGCCACAUCGUGUUUUUACAAUUCAUAGUUGUGGUACCCUUCUUCUUUUUCUAUGGUUGUGUGUGCGAUUCACCUUUUUAUUUAUAUUUUCCAGAUUUUUGGUUUAGAUUUUGUUAAUUAACUCUAUCUGAUUGCUUUACUUCCCUGGUUUGGUUUAGAUUUUUCGCUGAAAGUAAGCGAUUGUUUUACUUUCCUGUUUUGUCGUGGCUGAGAUCUCCGAGCACAUCACCAACAAGGUCUCUGUGAAAAUAGGAUUAAAUUCAAGGAAAAUGUACUCCAUUUCAGGAUAUUAAGGCCUUCUUGCCAUGAGACAGAGGAAAGGUACACCUACAUUUAAUAAACCUAUGCACGGCUAAAAUUUAGAUUACUUGGGGAGACUUUUGUUUCCUACUCCGUCUGUGGAUUGUAGCUUCCCUUGCUAGCAUAGUUAUGACAUUGAGUAAUUUGAGUUUUAAUUUCUGGAUGUUGCAGAUCUGAUUUGACGUUGCCUCUCUUGAAGUAAGCUCAUCUCACUAAAUAUAGAAUGAUAGAUAUAGUGGUUGGUUCUUUUUUGCUAUAGAUUAGUCUAUCCUUAUUAUGCGUAUUUGCAUCCUCUUUGAAUUAGAGAAAAUGAUACUACAAAUCUGUCCAGAUAGCUGGUAGUCACAAACCAUGACAAAUCUUCUACAAAGCACCACUUUUGUUCGUAAAUUUGUUGCUCUUUCAUUCUUACAGAUCAGUUUCACAUACAUGGAGGCGAGAAGAAUUUAUGAAAUAUCUUAAAUUGGUGUUACUUUUCAGAACCUGUUGCAAGUAUGUUGAUGGUAACUCAUUUUGGUAAUCUCGGAAUACUACAUACAUACUUUGGGCAUCUAUUUCAGCUGCUCAAUGUGAUAUUGAGCAGCUCAACUGAUCGUGUUGCUACAAAUAAUGAGUGAUAUGUAUUGUUUUUUGUUUAAUUUUUUUUAAGAAGUGUAAUAUGAAUAUUAGAUCUUAUGAGAUUAUUGUGAUCAUCAAAUAUUAUCUUCAAUAACUUAUUUUCAGGUUCUUUGUAUGAUAGCUCAAAUGCAAUUUGAUGGUCGCUAUGUUCUAAUGAAGCAAAAGAUCUUAAACUGAAGUUUUUGCUAUCUUCUCAUGCACUUCCAUCAUAUAAAGAUUUGGACAUAGAUGAUUUGUAAACCCAUGUUGGCAACCGCUGAUGUUGUAGAUUGCAUCUCUAAAUACCUCUUUUUUCUAA
rnacentral:lncRNA from 1 species